AGGAUUAGAUACCCUGGUAGUCCACGCCGUAAACGUUGGGCGCUAGAUGUAGGGACCUUUCCACGGUUUCUGUGUCGUAGCUAACGCAUUAAGCGCCCCGCCUGGGGAGUACGGCCGCAAGGCUAAAACUCAAAGGAAUUGACGGGGGCCCGCACAAGCGGCGGAGCAUGCGGAUUAAUUCGAUGCAACGCGAAGAACCUUACCAAGGCUUGACAUACACCGGAAACGGCCAGAGAUGGUCGCCCCCUUGUGGUCGGUGUACAGGUGGUGCAUGGUUGUCGUCAGCUCGUGUCGUGAGAUGUUGGGUUAAGUCCCGCAACGAGCGCAACCCUCGUUCUAUGUUGCCAGCGCGUUAUGGCGGGGACUCAUAGGAGACUGCCGGGGUCAACUCGGAGGAAGGUGGGGAUGACGUCAAAUCAUCAUGCCCCUUAUGUCUUGGGCUUCACGCAUGCUACAAUGGCCGGUACAAAGGGCUGCGAUACCGUAAGGUGGAGCGAAUCCCAAAAAGCCGGUCUCAGUUCGGAUUGAGGUCUGCAACUCGACCUCAUGAAGUCGGAGUCGCUAGUAAUCGCAGAUCAGCAACGCUGCGGUGAAUACGUUCCCGGGCCUUGUACACACCGCCCGUCAAGUCAUGAAAGU
rnacentral:rRNA from 1 species